CGAGAUGUUGGUUAAGUCCCGCAACGAGCGCAACCCCUAUUGUUAGUUGCCAUCAUUCAGUUGGGCACUCUAGCGAGACUGCCGGUAAUAAACCGGAGGAAGGUGGGGAUGACGUCAAAUCAUCAUGCCCCUUAUGACCUGGGCUACACACGUGCUACAAUGGUUGGUACAACGAGUUGCGAGUCGGUGACGGCGAGCUAAUCUCUUAAAGCCAAUCUCAGUUCGGAUUGUAGGCUGCAACUCGCCUACAUGAAGUCGGAAUCGCUAGUAAUCGCGGAUCAGCACGCCCGCGGUCGAAUACGUUCCCGGGCCUU
rnacentral:rRNA from 1 species